rnacentral:rRNA from 1 species
AUACGGAGGGGGCAAGCGUUGUUCGGAAUUACUGGGCGUAAAGGGCGCGUAGGCGGCCAAGUCAGUCAGGCGUGAAAGCCCCGAGCUUAACUUGGGAACUGCAUUCGAUACUGUCUAGCUAGAGUAUGGUAGAGGGAAGCGGAAUUCCGGGUGUAGCGGUGAAAUGCGUAGAUAUCCGGAGGAACACCAGUGGCGAAGGCGGCUUCCUGGACCAAUACUGACGCUCAGGCACGAAAGCGUGGGGAGCAAACAGGAUUAGAAACCCCGGUAGUCC